ACAAACAAACAAACAAAAAUAUGGGAUUAACAAAUAACCAAGACCCUGGGAAAAAGAACAUCAAUAGGUUACACAACACGAUUAGAGGCAAUGGAAAAAAAAUUACAGAAUUUUUGAGUUGGAAGUGACUUCCCAGAUCAUGGUGCCUAACCUCAUGUACCUGAAGAGGACGGAGAGGGUCAGAGAAGUUAAGGUACCCGUCACUGGAAAAGAAAUGUAUCUAUUGACUUCCUCAUUCUACAGCUCCUCACCUCCUGCCUGCCUAAGCUCCAGUUGCAAGGAAGGGAGAUAGAGUGAGAAGAAUAAAAAUAAAGAAGUUGCUCAUCUCUUCAUUUUGCAUGUAAGUGAUGAUUGCCUUUCUUCUCUUAGCAAAUUGGCUAGUAUGGUCUAUGUUCAACAAGUAUUCCAUUUGCUACCUUCUCCCAGACACUAUUCGAAAUAUACACAUACAGUGAUCUUACAAUUAGCCCAUUCUCAUACAGGAAGAAAAUGCAAUCUUCAUGAAAAUCCCCUAACUCCACUUCAGACACUGAAGUUCACCUUUUUGAAGUGUACUGAGCCUGACAGCUAGGCCAGAAUCUUAGGAAAGUACCUCCAUUAGAAGGUUAACCUAGAGAAAGAAAAAGAAGUGCCAGGCUUUGCAGAAGAACAGGGGAACUGUGGCAUUGUGAAGGAUGUGGCUGAGUUCAGAGGGUCAUGAAGGAAUGGGAAAUGCUUUGGAAGAACUUGAGGAUGAGAUCUCCUGAUAAGGUGUGAUUGAAUUUUUUAAAGGAGGACCUUGAAGUUUGCACAGCAUGGUGACGGUGACACCAAAUGAAAAGAGGACUGAGAACAGACUGUAAGCAAUUCAGCCUGCCAAAAAUUCAGAUUGCUAAAUAAGGGAUACCAAUCAGAUGUUUUCUAUCUUCCCUGGAGAAACUAAGGAACUUCAAGUUUAAAAUGCCUCAUGAAGAAUUGGGAUAAAAUAUAAAGAAUUUCCUGAAGAAAGGGAGGAAGAUGAUUGUGUACUGAAUGAUUGCAAUAGAACAUCUGAAAAUGUAAAAUGAAAAGGAUAACUGAACUUUUCUAUGAAGAGCUUGAUUAUGGCCAUACAUUGAAUUAAUGAGCAUUCAGUGAGUCCACAGUUCUUUGUUGAGGGUCUCCUGCAUGCCAUACACUGUGCUACGUCCUGGGGCUCCAUAAAUUCUUUGUUAACAAAAUAAAAAUACCCCCAUACAGAGAAGCACUUUCAGAUACAUUACCUCAUCUCUAACAGAACACACAGUCAACAGAACCAUGCGGAGGCUGAUCAAUAUUCUAAACAAUAGUUUCAUAAAUACUGUCCCUAGACUCGUCUACUCACUGGGAGCUGCAGGGGUUGGUAUUCUAGCUAGCAAAUGAAACAAUCUGCAUACAUGCUUAAAUCAAGUUUGUUUAAAAUUAGAAAAUGGCAUAAUGUAUUCAAAAGUUUUUAUGCAGUAUUUGCAUGGAAUUUAAAAUAUGCUACAUGCUUUGAAUUAGGAGAGCAGAGCGAUGUGUAGCUCAUCUAUUGGUCUGAUCGAAUGUUUAAAAAUCAAAUUUUAGAGAGCUCUGUACUUAAAUAACUGUAAAAGAAAAUAAAAUCAGAAUGCAUAA
rnacentral:lncRNA from 1 species